UCGAACAAAGUGCCGGUGGUGCAGCACCCCCACCAUGUCCACCCACUCACACCUCUCAUCACGUACAGCAAUGAACACUUCACCCCGGGAAAUCCACCUCCGCACUUACCAGCUGACGUAGACCCCAAAACAGGAAUUCCACGGCCUCCGCACCCUCCAGAUAUCUCUCCAUAUUACCCGCUGUCGCCCGGCACCGUAGGACAAAUCCCCCAUCCGCUAGGAUGGUUAGUACCACAG
rnacentral:lncRNA from 1 species